CUAAGGCAGGCUGCCUGGCUACGAGUGAAAACAUUUCAGCAGUAGCUGAUCUUUUCCGUUGGUUGAGGACCAAGUCAGACUAGGCAUGGCUUUGAAGUUAUUUCUGUCUCGGUGGAUUAGAGGUAUCAAAAGGAGCAGCUCCGCAAACCUUCCAACAAAUAUUUACAGUUCUGCGCUAAACAACCUGCACUAUCCUUUAACCUUUACCGCCUUGUGAAACGCUUGCCAGCCUUCUCCAAACUGCUAAAAUUAGGAGAGAGGGCAGAAGCCCAAAGGAAAGGAAAUGCAGAACACCAAGGCAUCCCUUCUUCCUGUGGAGGGAAAACAUUGUCUUUCCAUGCUAACCUGGCUGCAGAGGUGAUUUCCCCUUCCACUGUUCCUCCAUCCCACAGCACCCCGGGCAGACAGGCCUCUGCCCCUCGGCGAUAUUUCUCAGGAUCAGAGGGACACUGGCUGCCCUGAAGCCAAAGUUUCUUAAAAGUGUCAAAGGGUGGCUCCGAGCCAGCCAGGAAGGACAUCGAAUGCCGCCAAACACUGAGUGUGUGAAUGCUGACUUUUUUUCAGCCCCUGGGACACCGCACAACGGGCAACCUCUCUCCGUGAAGGUUUGUAAAUGGAAAUGCUCAUCAUUGUUUGCUUCUAAAAUGAUGAAGAAAUUAGUUGAAUGGAUGCCUUUAGCCAUCCUUUUCUAUUUUUAAGAUUCCACAUUGUGAACACAAAGAUCUCAAAGUAAUAUCCACAGAGAAUAAAAGGAUGAGAGAAAGAAUUCAGAAGGUGAACUGUCACAGUCAGUGGGCUGAGAACAUCCAGUCCCUUACUUCUGUCCUCUGUCCUCAGAAGAGGAAUCAAGCCCAUCACAAUUGCAAUAAAGGAGCCCCCCAGAAGCAGGUCCACCAAUGGGCACUCCAGGGGCAUUUGCUUAGCAACAGAAAAGUCACAAAGUAAGGCAGGGGUGGGGAGUAACAGAUACCAUACCGGGACAUAACAACUUUUAAGUCCCGUACAUGGCAUCCAGGGACCUUCGGAACUUCCUGUGUGAGUCUGAAUCCCCAGAACAACAGAGAUAAGAGCCAACAGUACACAUCACACUGCUAACUUACCGUCUUCUACUACCUCAGACUGGAGCACCGGACACAGAACGGCAGAGCAGCUCCAAGGAGACUGAGAGACCCAUGGAAGCUCCAAGGGUGGCAGAAAAGGAAAAGGAACUCGGAGUCUGACCAGUGUGGGUGAUUACAGCAGCCUCUGAGGUCAGCACACAGUACUUUCGGAAUUGAGUGCUAUGCAACUGCUAAGCUGUGCAGUUUUUGUUGAAGGAAAUACAAGAAACUAGCUCACUCAUCGUCUACAAUUUUAUGUUCUUUUGACUCAAAGUUAAAAGAAAAUAUAGAUUACCAGAAGGA